rnacentral:rRNA from 1 species
GAUAAACGCUGGCGGCGCACAUAAGACAUGCAAGUCGAACGAACUUAAUUUUAAUAUUUAUAUUAAAAAGCGGUUAGUGGCGGACUGGUGAGUAACGCGUAAGCAAUCUGCCUAUCAGAGGGGAAUAACAGUGAGAAAUCAUUGCUAAUACCGCAUAUGCCAUAAGAAUCACAUGAUUCUAGUGGGAAAGGAGUAAUCCACUGAUAGAUGAGCUUGCGUCUGAUUAGCUAGUUGGUGGGGUAACGGCCUACCAAGGCGACGAUCAGUAGCCGGACUGAGAGGUUGAACGGCCACAUUGGGACUGAGAUACGGCCCAGACUCCUACGGGAGGCAGCAGUCGGGAAUAUUGCGCAAUGGAGGAAACUCUGACGCAGUGACGCCGCGUAUAGGAAGAAGGUUUUCGGAUUGUAAACUAUUGUC